UCUUCUUCUCUCUCUCUCUCUCUCUCUCUCUCUCUCUCUCUCUCUCUCUCUCUCUCUCUCAUGCAAAUAUAUACACACACUCAAAUGUUGGUGGCUGUGGUGGUUGCAGUUGAAACGGUGAUGUCAAAGAUGACAACGAUCAGAAUCUUGUUGUGACAGAACAAACAAGAAGCUGACUACUGAAUGGUUUCAUGGCUUUGUUUAUAACCGGAUGUGAACCACCACCCCCUUUAUCUGCAUCGUCAUCAUGAACCUCACUGCUGGUUGUAAAUUGUGCACAAAGGAUGUGGAUAAAGCUUGCUGCAAAAGCUGUAUAUGAAUUUGCUUUGGGCCAUGAAAUCCAAGGGUUGUGUACUAUUUUUAUCUCACCUCCCCACCACCCGAAAAUUAACUGGGUGCAAAAUCAUUUUCCUUUGAAGAGCCUUCAUGAGACCAGAUUAUCAGAAAAUUGUGCAUUGCUCUUAUGACCUAUUUUUCUUUACUCUGAUCUGAUAUGGCUGGAUGUAUUGUUUUGUUCCUUUUUUGGAACUGCUAAUUUGCAUAGUUAUUAGUCCUUUUUUUGCCAUGGCCU